AUGAUGCGAAGAAGCGUCAUGGGCGAAGGCAGAGUGCCGGCGGCACAGCAGACAGCAGUGCCCACAGCAGCUCCCGCUCACAGCCCGCAGACACCCAUAAGCGGUACGAUCGGCACCGCAGUGACACGGGGAACAGGCCGGCCCCUCAAGCACACAGCGAGAGGGGAGCUGGGCCUUCUCCUAGUCACAACGGUGGUGCAAGGCAAAGGCAGGGCCAUCAGCCAGCCAGCCGCAAGGAGCACAGGCGUGACCAUUGCGCCCAACGCGGUGUGGGACCCAGACAUGGCCAUCGAGCAGGUGGCAGCGUUGGACCCACGAAUGGAAAUGAAGCACAGAGUGGCACGGGACCUGCGCGUGGAAGCGAACGAUGCUGUGGUUUGGCACCCCGGCGGGACAGGUCUCCUGAUUAAAGGUAUCGCAUGCGGCCCGGCCGCAGCAAGGACGGGCUCACCCCUCAGCAGCUCCAAGCUGUGCGUCGUCGUUCCCCAAAACCAGACAGCAACUCAGGCUGCAGGCCUUCCGACUGCCGCACCAAUUGCAUGGGGCGAAGGCAGGAGCAUCGGCCAGGCAGCGGCACGGAGCAGAGGCGAGCCUAUCGAGCAAGCCCAGACACCUACAGGCGGUACCAUUGGCACCGCAGCGAUGCGGGGAACAGGCCGGCCCCUCAAACACGCAGCGACAGGGGGCCUGGGCCCUCCCAUAGCCACGACGGUGGCAUGGGGCAAGGGCAGGAACAUCAGCCAGAGAGCCGCGGGGAGCACAGGCGUGCCGAUCACAGGGAGCACAGUGCGGGACCCAGCCAGGGCCAUAAAACAGAAGGCAGCGUCAGGCCCAUGCAUGAAAAUGAACCCAACAGUGGUACAGGACCACCUCCACUUGAAGAGACCUGGGACUUCCGCAGCAUGUCUCUGCUCUCUGCUCUCCAAGCACACAAACAGAAGCACUACUCUUCAACUAUUAAAGCAAUUAGGAGACAUUUCUUCUCAGAAAGAGUGGUCAGGAAUUGGAACAGGUUGCCCAGGGAAAUGGUCGAGUCACCGUCCCUGGGGGUGUUCAAGGAAAGGUUGGAUGUGGUGCUUAGGGUCAUGA
rnacentral:lncRNA from 1 species